rnacentral:tRNA from 1 species
GGGCAGGUGGUGAAAUAGCAGACACGCAAGGUUUAGGACCUUGUGCCGAAAGGCGUGGAGGUGCAAGUCCUCUCCUGCCCACAA